rnacentral:tRNA from 1 species
UAUAUUUAGGUGUAUGAAGCACGGAAGUUUUUGAUACUUUAGGGAGUAGUUUAAGUCUACUGAAUGUAA